rnacentral:rRNA from 1 species
AACGCGAAGAACCUUACCUGGGCUCGAACGGCUUCAGACCGUCGUGGAAACACGAUCUUCCCCUUAAAAGGACUGGAGUCGAGGUGCUGCAUGGCUGUCGUCAGCUCGUGUCGUGAGAUGUUGGGUUAAGUCCCGCAACGAGCGCAACCCUUGUCCUGUGUUGCCAUCAUUCAGUUGGGCACUCUCGGGAGACCGCCAGCGAUAAGUUGGAGGAAGGUGGGGAUGAUGUCAAGUCAUCAUGGCCUUUAUGUCCAGGGCUACACACGUGCUACAAUGGACGGUACAAACCGCUGCAAACCCGCGAGGGAGAGCUAAUCGGAAAAAACCGUUCUCAGUUCGGAUCGCAGGCUGCAACUCGCCUGCGUGAAGCUGGAAUCGCUAGUAAUGCCGUAUCAGAACGACGGCGUGAAUACGUUCCCGGGCCUUGUACACACCGACUGUAC